rnacentral:lncRNA from 1 species
ACCACAGGGUAGAUGGGCUGGAAUCAAACCCAGCUUUAAGGUAAUUUGUGGCUGCUUUUUGGGGUCUGAGUGAAGAACAAGGCUUGGACUUCUCCUUCCCCGCAAGCAAGCGGCUGACCAUCCAGAGACCAAGGUAGCUGUAAAGCAGAGCACAGGAAAGCCUAUUCAACCUUAAUAACGCUUUGUGGCCUCUAUCCUGAGGCAUAUUUAAAAGGCUUGGAUUUCAUAAGGGUCCUGAUCCGCCACGAGGGAGGCAGACAG